rnacentral:rRNA from 1 species
AACGAACGCUGGCGGCAGGCUUAACACAUGCAAGUCGAGCGCCCCGCAAGGGGAGCGGCAGACGGGUGAGUAACGCGUGGGAAUCUACCCAUCUCUACGGAAUAACGCAUGGAAACGUGUGCUAAUACCGUAUACGUCCUUCGGGAGAAAGAUUUAUCGGAGAUGGAUGAGCCCGCCUUGGGUUGGCUAGUUGGUGGGGUAAAGGCCUACCAAGGCGACGAUCCAUAGCUGGUCUGAGAGGAUGAUCAGCCACACUGGGACUGAGACACGGCCCAGACUCCUACGGGAGGCAGCAGUGGGGAAUAUUGGACAAUGGGCGCAAGCCUGAUCCAGCCAUGCCGCGUGAGUGAUGAAGGCCCUAGGGUUGUAAAGCUCUUUCACCGGUGAAGAUAAUGACGGUAACCGGAGAAGAAGCCCCGGCUAACUUCGUGCCAGCCGCCGCCGUAACAC